GCAGUUCGGAUCCUCUGUCCCCAUUACCCUGUCCCACUCCCUGUCCCACCCAUAAAACUACAGCGUUUUGAACUUAUUAGCAUAAUCCCUUCUUAAUUGAUUAAAUUCGCUCAAUAUCGGCUCGGCUUGUUGUAGCCGUGAAAUUUUUUCUUCUACUUUCCUUCUGCAGAUCAAACAAUCUCCCUUCUUCUUCGGAAAUUUUCGAUCUCCACCGAAAAAUGGGGAUUUCGUUCGCAUCACAGGAUUUGGCUAGGGAUCUCCAUCACCAAUCUUACUCUUCCGUCAAUCUUUUCUUCUUCCCAAACUUUCAAACUCAAUUUUUGGUGCUUUUAUUUUACCGCAAGAACCAACUUAUUGUGGUGAACAUCACGACGUCCAUCGUCGGCGCAAUCGAACUUCUUGAUUUUGCUUCUUUUACCUUGAAGUCGACGGUGAGUAUUUUGUGAAGAUGAAGAAAAAAUUGAAGCAAGACGAAGACUGAUUUUGGAUGAAGAAAAAAUUGAAGCAAAUCGCGUGUGGAAGAUGAAAUUCUCUCGAUUUUGUGGAGAGAGAAAUGUUUUCAAAGGAAAAGAGAAACAUUCGAUCUGCAUCUGCUAUAGGAGAGAGAAAGGAGAAAUUAAGAUGAAGAUGACAGCUUGCUGAAGCCGAGCCGAUAACUCACAUAAUUUAAUUAAUUAUCAGCAUAUUUUGUUUAAUUAAAAGGGGCGCACUUAUUAUGGGUAAAACGACAUAGUAUUGUAGUGGGACAGGGAGUGGGACAGGGUAAUGGGGACAGAGGAUCCGAA
rnacentral:lncRNA from 1 species